AUGAACUCACACAGGGGGUCAUUAGAAAAGUGCCUUCAGUGGCUAAAAACCUGCUUCAGGGUCAGUGAUGAAGUCCCGCAGAUCUGCUCUGUGGAUCCUGAUUUUAAUGAUCAUCACUACACUCAUUACUGGUAAGAGUUCAGUAUGGCUUAUUUAUGAUCUUCUUCCACAUGUGAUCGUCUGCUGCUGAACCCUGU
rnacentral:lncRNA from 1 species